GAUGCCCGGUGGAGUAUCGGGUGG
rnacentral:siRNA from 1 species